AAUCCAUGGUCUGGACACUGCUUAAGAAGCAGAUUAAACUUUUCCCACACAUCCACUAAUGUCUCACCAUCUUUCUGCAUGAAAUUGGUGAUCUCGCCUUUGGUUU